UGACGAGUUUGAUCCUGGCUCAGAUUGAACGCUGGCGGAAUGCUUUACACAUGCAAGUCGAACGGUAGAGGGGGCAACCCCUUGAGAGUGGCGAACGGGUGAGUAAUAUAUCGGAACGUGCCCAGUCGUGGGGGAUAACGUAGUGAAAAUUACGCUAAUACCGCAUACGAUCUAAGGAUGAAAGCAGGGGAUCGCAAGACCUUGCGUUAUUCGAGCGGCCGACGUCUGAUUAGCUAGUUGGUGAGGUAAUGGCUCACCAAGGCGACGAUCAGGUAGCGGGUCUGAGACGGAUGAUCCGCCACACUGGAACUGAGACCACGGUCCAGACU
rnacentral:rRNA from 1 species